AAUGGAGAGGCUGACGGUAUGCUGCUAUGCCGUUUGCGCUCAUUCACAAAACCAUCCGCACACAGGCGAACGACGGCGCGUGGGAUGUGUGAGUGAAGAAACGCUUCACGAACUGGAGGAACGGUCGAUGUGUGCGUGUGCGAAACGCUUCACGUGAGCGAAACGCGUGUAGUGGUGAAACGCUUCGCCUGGUAGACGAACAAGGACGGCAAGCGCUUCGCAUCUACCGAGCUGUCAUCUCGUUCAUGCUUGUCGUACACGCCACACACACACACACACCAUCGCAACGCGUAACACGGAAGCUGCUUGUUCCGUCUCGCUCUCGCCCGUGCACCCGUAUAUACACACACACACGCACACACACUUCAGGGUUUGACUAACACUAGCCUACACUGCGCUGCGGAAAUAAUACACCCCGUUGACGACGUCGUGCCUGCAGAAUGUUUGAAAUUCAAAUCAUCAGGACGGGUUUCUGCUUAGUUGGCAGAAUAAUAACACCGUACACCGUCGUUUCUGCGACGGCGAUGGUGCAAAAAGCAACGGGCAUAGCCUGCUGCUUGGGGCUUGCUGAAACCGAUCGCCCCUAGCCAAGGCAGUAGUAGUAGUAGUGGUGGUGGUGGUGGUGUGCGUUCGCCAGUUCAAACAGUUCACACUGCGCGGCACACAAACACAGGAGAGCACUGUAGCGUGUGCUUUCAGUCGUGCAAACGGGCGCCCGCAAAACGAGACCACGAAUGAUCGCUUACUGCGCAGAGCAGGAUAGCGAGUGGGGACGUUUUUAUGAAUGAAACUGCCGUUUGCUCUAUACACGGCGGAUGAAUGGAAUGAAACGAAAACUGUUCGCGAAGCACACGAGAGAGGCUAACCUUCAUCCCUUCUACCUGUGUCUUGCCGUACCCCGUACCGACGUGUAGGCCCCGCACUGGGCUACGGCCCGUCACCUGCCCGUCUGUUCGCCUUCCUCUUACUUUUCCCUUUCCCCUUGACCGUGGCUGUUACCCCGCAGCCGUCAUCCUUGUUGUGCACGGAAUAAAAGCAAGAGGAACGAAGCGGGUGAUGGGGCGGGGGAGAGGGUGAGAGGGGAAAAAAGAAGCGAAAACACAACACACACCAAAAGAAAACAGAAAACCUUCCGUCGCAAGUCCCUUCUUGCUCGGCUGUUCGUUUCCCGUUUUUGGAUCCCGUCGUUCACCCACCACCGGUCGUCGUGUGCCCGUACAACGUCGGACGUCGUAUGCAUUUCCAGCCCGUAGUGUCGCGGGCCCGUGGAGUCGUAGAAACGGAAAGAGGCUGGUCGCAGAGGAACGGCGGAGCAACGUGACUGGAAUCGUCCAUACAACAGUACCCUUCCGCCCACUUCACCCAGUCAACAGGCUGUUCGUGGACAAGGGGGUGAUGGUGUGGCUCGGUAAGAAGGAUGAUGGUAGGCAACGCACGGCACCAUGUCAUCUACACCAGUCCAACCCAUUACCUUGCCCUCACCCUUCAGGACGUUGGAUAUUGCGUUAUGAAAUAGAAAUGUUGAACUAACUUUAGGCUAGCAAUAUCGAGAAGCACCAAUAAUCAACAGACAUUUUUUUUUCCAAUAUUAUUUCUUUUCGUUUUUUCGUAUUAAAGAACACCGGCCAGGCCUUCUCACUUGUAUAUUUUCCAAUAUAAGAUAAAGAAGAAUUCUGUUUUAAAAUUCCAUCCAAACCCACUAUUAAAUGUAUGGAAGAGGAAUUUUCUUUAGAGAAAUAAUUAUGACCAACAUUUCAAACUAAGCUAGCUCACUGUGCAGCAGCCGCUCGUUCUCGUGGCGGCUGCACGAGAUGGUAUAAAACUAUCGAAACCAACUAGCAUUCAUAGAUAUUUGGAGAGAGCGAGAGAGAGAGAGUGAGUGCGAUAAAGAGAGUGAGAGAAAGUAAGCAUGGGAGAGCA